GUCACACACACAUGCAUUUACCAGCGGAUAUCGCUGGACCGAGUCUACCCAUCUCUCUCGAUCCACCAUGAUUUUUCUGCUAUCGCGCUCAUCCGGGUGUUAGGCAUCCUCAGUCUGUCCAGAACUUUCACUGUGGAAGGAUGUGUUGGAGUGAGGUGCGAUUUCUUGUGCGACGUACUUUGCUCAUUUACGUUUUGUGCCGUGUUCCUUCUUCCUCAGUUAUGGAAUGAUUUAUCCUAGCAAAUUGUUGAGGUGUGUGCGCUAUUUAUCAACGACUACCUGCUAGCCUCGUCAACAAUCUUCAAAGUGAGCGACGGAAAGAAAACGUUUUCCAGUUUUAAAAUAUUACGCCCCCGGUGAGGACGUCAUUACUUAACAGAAGCCGGUUCAACACGCCUAGCUCCUGUUCAUGAAGUCAUCACUAAACUGAAGCCAGCUAAACACGCGCAGCACCGAUGGUACCCCGAGCGCGGUAGGAGGAAGGAAGAACGAGAGGAGGAGGAACGGUAAAUUUGGAAUGGGGAAAGCGUUCUGCCGUC